rnacentral:rRNA from 1 species
CCUACGGGAGGCAGCAGUGAGGAAUAUUGGUCAAUGGACGAGAGUCUGAACCAGCCAAGUAGCGUGAAGGAUGACUGCCCUAUGGGUUGUAAACUUCUUUUAUAUGGGAAUAAAAUGUUCCACGUGUGGGAUUUUGUAUGUACCAUAUGAAUAAGGAUCGGCUAACUCCGUGCCAGCAGCCGCGGUAAUACGGAGGAUCCGAGCGUUAUCCGGAUUUAUUGGGGUUAAAGGGAGCGUAGGUGGAUUGUUAAGUCAGUUGUGAAAGUUUGCGGCUCAACCGUAAAAUUGCAGUUGAAACUGGCAGUCUUGAGUACAGUAGAGGUGGGCGGAAUUCGUGGUGUAGCGGUGAAAUGCUUAGAUAUCACGAAGAACUCCGAUUGCGAAGGCAGUUCACUGGACUGCAACUGACACUGAGGCUCGAAAGUGUGGGUAUCAAACAGGAUUAGAUAACCGAGUAGUC